rnacentral:rRNA from 1 species
UACGGAGGGAGCUAGCGUUGUUCGGAAUUAGUCGUGGGCGUAAAGCGCACGUAGGCGGCUUUGUAAGUUAGGAGGUCGAAAGCCCGGGGUCUCAACUCCGGAACUGCCUUUAAGACUGCGAUCGCUUGAAUCCAGGAGAGGUGAGUGGAAUUCCGAGUGUAGAGGUGAAAUUCGUAGAUAUUCGGAAGAACACCAGUGGCGAAGGCGGCUCACAUGGACGUGGUAUUGACGCUGAGGUGCGAAAGCGUGGGGAGCAAACAGG